rnacentral:rRNA from 1 species
GCUCCCCGCUGACGAGCGGCGGACGGGUGAGUAAUGCAUAGGAAACUGCCCAGUAGUGGGGGAUAGCCCGGGGAAACCCGGAUUAAUACCGCAUACGCCCUUCGGGGGAAAGCAGGGGAUCUUCGGACCUUGCGCUAUUGGAUGUGCCUAUGUCGGAUUAGCUAGUUGGUGGGGUAAGAGCCUACCAAGGCGACGAUCCGUAGCUGGUCUGAGAGGAUGAUCAGCCACAUCGGGACUGAGACACGGCCCGAACUCCUACGGGAGGCAGCAGUGGGGAAUAUUGGACAAUGGGGGCAACCCUGAUCCAGCCAUGCCGCGUGUGUGAAGAAGGCUUUCGGGUUGUAAAGCACUUUCAGUGAGGAGGAAAACCUUACGACUAAUACUCGUGAGGCUUGACGUUACUCACAGAAGAAGCACCGGCUAACUCCGUGCCAGCAGCCGCGGUAAUACGGAGGGUGCAAGCGUUAAUCGGAAUUACUGGGCGUAAAGCGCGCGUAGGUGGUUUGAUAAGCGAGAUGUGAAAGCCCCGGGCUCAACCUGGGAACGGCAUUUCGAACUGUCAGGCUAGAGUAUGGUAGAGGAGUGUGGAAUUUCCUGUGUA